UCAAAUGAGGUCCAGCAAACAGUGAAUGAUAAUGUAGGGGAAAAUUCUAACUAGCACAACUCUGUACAAUUAUUAUUACAAUGUUGGGCAUGGCACUGAGGACAUAUUUAGUUUCGGAAUCCCCUGGAUUCAACAAUUCUUUUAUGAAAAAUACUGAAGUUCCAACACAACCACAGAAACAUCAGCAUCAUCCUACUACUAACCUACCUUGAUAGCAGUGAUCCCAGACACCCUCUCUGGCCCAUUCCAGUUUUACUCUUAAAACCGGAAGAGGGAAAAUCUCGUUUUAAUAAAGUGGUGCCAAUCAAAUAUGAGGCGGUAGGAGAAAACAGACAACUUUUAAUUGUGCACCGGGAAGUUUAUGGAACACGCCCACUUAAGCGCUCUCACAAAGCGCCUAACAGGUGGCAUAAGUAGCUUUAAAGAAAAUGGGGGGGGGGGGAGACUCCUCAUUUUAGUUUUAUCAACCGAAGAAUUGAAGGAAAGAAGGUCGUCUAAAGGACCAACAAAUAGCCCAGAGGUCGGAUCAAACAACAGCAAGCAGGACGACCCGACGUCUCAGGCGCUCCCGCGUGUCCCAACAGAGCAGCAGACUUACUGAACUGAACCUCUGAGGUUGGGACCCAAGAACUGCAACUUGACAAGCUCUUCAGUUGAUCCUUGUGGUGAUCCUGACAUUUGAGAACCACUGCUGAACGUGAAAGAGGGAAAAUCAGAGUCCAAAUGUCUUCUAACUUAGAACUAUAUUGGAUGGGGUGGUGGAGACCCUUCAUUGAUGGACUGAUAUGCCAAACCUAAGAAACACCGUACUAUAUUAUGACAAGCCUGAUGAAGUCCAGAAUACUACAUUGUUCGAAAUAAAAUGAUGUCUACGAAUGCUAAGUAGCCUACAGACCACCUGUAACCAACAUUUGAGCCUGCCAAAAGAUGAGUUCAUCCAAAACACUGUGCAAUUAACAAAUAAAAUAUAAAUUCCAGGAGAGCAAAGAUUUUGGUCUG